UUAAUUGAAACCAAAUAGAGGUUAAUUACUGUUAAUAAUUAUAUUGAGAUCAAUUUUAAUUAUCUCCAAUUAAA
rnacentral:tRNA from 1 species